rnacentral:rRNA from 1 species
AAACCUGAGAAACCCGAAAGUUCGAAUGAAAAGAUUCAAUAUUCUUCAAUUGGUUGUACAUUUACUUUGUGAUUAUGUGAUAGUUUUAUGUUAAUUUCUUUAUCCUUCACUGGAUUUUGAAUGUACAUAUAUUCUACACCACUUUGUUUAUGAAUAAAUACAACUAUGAAGGUAUGCACUUCUUUUCUAGUAGGACGUUGCGACCCAUUGAAUGUUAAUCUACGGCUACUCGUUAGAGCCUAUUCCUAUUUUACUUAAUUGUAUUUAUGGGAAAUAGAUUUCUGAGUGUGUCCCGAAUAACUGUUCGAUGGUAUUUAUAAAACCAUAAUAUUGGAUCGCCACUUUGUCUGGGCAUUUGGUAUUCAUUCAAGUAUGUAAGGUAAUUUAAAUGUCAGGGGCUCUUGUACUGGCUUUGAAUCCUAACUACUGUUCGAGUGAAAUUUACUAUCAAAUAGUAUCCUUUUAUUGGUCAGCAACGCUGUUGCUUUGGGUACUUUCAGGAC